AGAGUUUGAUUAUGGCUCAGGAUGAACGCUAGCUACAGGCUUAACACAUGCAAGUCGGGGGGCAGCAUUGGAGUAGCAAUACUCAGAUGGCGACCGGCGCACGGGUGAGUAACACGUAUCCAACCUGCCGCUUACUCGGGGAUAGCCUUUCGAAAGAAAGAUUAAUACCCGAUGGUAUAAAGAGUUCGCAUGUUCUCUUUAUUAAAGAAUUUCGGUAAGCGAUGGGGAUGCGUUCCAUUAGAUAGUUGGCGGGGUAACGGCCCACCAAGUCUACGAUGGAUAGGGGUUCUGAGAGGAAGGUCCCCCACAUUGGAACUGAGACACGGUCCAAACUCCUACGGGAGGCAGCAGUGAGGAAUAUUGGUCAAUGGACGAGAGUCUGAACCAGCCAAAAGUAGCGUGAAGGAUGACUGCCCUAUGGGUUGUAAACUUCUUUUAUAAGGGAAUAAAGUGAGGGACGUGUCCCUUUUUGUAUGUACCUUAUGAAUAAGGAUCGGCUAACUCCGUGCCAGCCGCCGC
rnacentral:rRNA from 1 species